CGCGCAGGCGGUUUGGUUAGUCAGAUGUGAAAGCCCGGGGCUCAACCCCGGAAGUGCAUUUGAUACUACCUAACUUGAGUAUGGGAGAGGGAAGUGGAAUUCCUGGUGUAGAGGUGAAAUUCGUAGAUAUCAGGAGGAACACCGGUGGCGAAGGCGACUUCCUGGACCAAUACUGACGCUGAGGCGCGAAGGCGUGGGGAGCAAACAGGAUUAGAUACCCUGGUAGUC
rnacentral:rRNA from 1 species